UCUGACAUCCGUGACGUGUGAUCGUGAAGAGACAUACAAUAGUGAUGGGCUAAACUGCGAUUUUCCGAUAUCAGUGAUUUCUGCGAAUGCUACUUUCCAGUAUCUGCUAUUCUUAACUGUGAUUUGUUGCAGUUAAGAGUCGCAGUUAAGGAACGUAGGUCGCGUAUCCCUCCGCCACUGCUAUUUCUGCAAUUUUUGCUACUUCCGCGAUUUCUGUGACUUCUGCUACUUCUGCGAUUUUUGUGACUUCUGCUACUUCUGCGACUUACCACCGUAUGGAAAAGUUACAUCUGCCCACACAGAAAAUUGCAUCUCAACAAAUCUGUCAUUGGUACCCGAACUACAUUUCAGUCACUCAGUAAAUUGAUAACUCAAAAUAUCAUUGUCAACACAUCUGGAGAAAUUGCCACUGCGUCUUUAGACCGGUUUCGUCAGACGAGAGGUUAGUUUCUAAGUGUUUCGAUGGACUUAAUUACUUCAGUGAGAUCGUUCUUGCAAAUGUGAACUAUACCCCAUUGAGUGGCUUUCAUUACAGCAAAUAUUAGCAAUCCACUCUGUCAAUUAUAUUGCUUGUAAUUAGUGACAGCAAAAAUUGUUUAAUAAUCCUUGUGAUUUUGCAGACACAGUUCUGACUCUUGAUUACUGGUUGCUGUACGAAUUUAUCCACAUCAAGGCUGUUGAGACUCGUGAAGAUUCAAGACAGCUCUUAGAGAAUUUGCAGUUUAAAAGUGACAUAAUUGUGCAGAUGAGUGAUUAAACUGUAUUUUAUUGAAGUUGUUAUGCAAUUUUAAAGGAAUAAUAAAUGUUAAAUACAGUGAGUGAAUAAUGAAAAUCUCA